rnacentral:rRNA from 1 species
UACGGAAGGCAGCAGUGGGGAAUAUUGCACAAUGGGCGCAAGCCUGAUGCAGCCAUGCCGCGUGUAUGAAAAAGGCCUUCGGGUUGUAAAGUACUUUCAGUCGUGAGGAAGGUGUUAAGGUUAAUAACCUUAGCAAUUGACGUUAGCGACAGAAGAAGCACCGGCUAACUCCGUGCCAGCAGCCGCGGUAAUACGGAGGGUGCGAGCGUUAAUCGGAAUUACUGGGCGUAAAGGGCACGCAGGCGGUUAAUUAAGUUGGAUGUGAAAUCCCCGGGCUUAACCUGGGAAUGGCAUUCAAGACUGGUUAGCUAGAGUCUUGUAGAGGGGGUUAGAAUUCCAUGUGUAGCGGUGAAAUGCGUAGAGAUGUGGAGGAAUACCGGUGGCGAAGGCGGCCCCUGGACAAAGACUGACGCUCAUGUGCGAAAGCGUGGGGAGCCAAACAGGGAUUAGAUAC